rnacentral:rRNA from 1 species
GACGAACGCUGGCGGCGUGCCUAAUACAUGCAAGUAGAACGCUGAAGGAGGAGCUUGCUCUUCUGGAUGAGUUGCGAACGGGUGAGUAACGCGUAGGUAACCUGCCUGGUAGCGGGGGAUAACUAUUGGAAACGAUAGCUAAUACCGCAUAACAGUAGAUGUUGCAUGACAUUUACUUAAAAGGUGCAAUUGCAUCACUACCAGAUGGACCUGCGUUGUAUUAGCUAGUUGGUGGGGUAACGGCUCACCAAGGCGACGAUACAUAGCCGACCUGAGAGGGUGAUCGGCCACACUGGGACUGAGACACGGCCCAGACUCCUACGGGAGGCAGCAGUAGGGAAUCUUCGGCAAUGGACGGAAGUCUGACCGAGCAACGCCGCGUGAGUGAAGAAGGUUUUCGGAUCGUAAAGUUCUGUUGUAAGAGAAGAACGAGUGUGAGAGUGGAAAGUUCACACUGUGACGGUAUCUUACCAGAAAGGGACGGCUAACUACGUG